rnacentral:misc_RNA from 1 species
UUGGUGGGAACUCCAAUUGGAAACCUUGAAGAUAUCACCUUGAGGGCUCUCCGUGUAUUAAAAUCUGCUCAUGUGAUACUUUCCGAAGACACAAGGCAUUCGGGGAAAUUACUUCAGUAUUACAAUAUUAGAACUCCCCUUCUGAGUUAUCACAAAUUCAAUGAGUCUCAAAGAGAAUUGACGGUGUUAAAGAGAUUGAAACAGGGCGAGAUUGUGGCCCUGAUCAGUGAUGCAGGGAUGCCAGGCAUUAGUGAUC